rnacentral:rRNA from 1 species
UACAGAGGGGGCAAGCGUUGUUCGGAAUUACUGGGCGUAAAGGGCGCGUAGGCGGCCUGCUAAGUCGAACGUGAAAUCCCCGGGCUCAACCCGGGAACUGCGUCCGAUACUGGUAGGCUUGAAUUCGGGAGAGGGAUGCGGAAUUCCAGGUGUAGCGGUGAAAUGCGUAGAUAUCUGGAGGAACACCGGUGGCGAAGGCGGCAUCCUGGACCGACAUUGACGCUGAGGCACGAAAGCGUGGGGAGCAAACAGG